rnacentral:lncRNA from 1 species
GAGCUAGGGAAGAUGACAAGUCCGGAUCUGAUAGGUUUGCUUCAGUAUAGUUGCAAUCGGUGGAUGAAGAUGGAAAGCAAAUGAAGAUGGAGCCGUGGAGAUGACAAGCAAAAAUUUGCAGUCUAUGGAAUUGCUAGAGGCGGUUUAAUCAAUCGACUGUUGCUUCAGUGCGAGAGUCUUCCUGCGUGAAGACUAUGGAUUUGCAAG